rnacentral:rRNA from 1 species
CAGUCGCCGCGGGAAUACAGAGGGUGCGAGCGUUAAUCGGAUUUACUGGGCGUAAAGCGUGCGUAGGCGGCUUUUUAAGUCGGAUGUGAAAUCCCUGAGCUUAACUUAGGAAUUGCAUUCGAUACUGGGAUGCUAGAGUAUGGGAGAGGAUGGUAGAAUUCCAGGUGUAGCGGUGAAAUGCGUAGAGAUCUGGAGGAAUACCGAUGGCGAAGGCAGCCAUCUGGCCUAAUACUGACGCUGAGGUACGAAAGCAUGGGGAGCAAACAGGAUUAGAUACCCGAGUAGUCCCUGUCUCUUAUAA